rnacentral:rRNA from 1 species
UACGUAGGGUGCGAGCGUUGUCCGGAAUUAUUGGGCGUAAAGAGUGUGUAGGCGGUGCUCUAAGUUCGGUGUGAAAUCUCCUGGCUUAACUGGGAGGGUGCGCCGGAAACUGGAGUGCUCGAACGUGGGAGAGGAAAGCGGAAUUCCUGGUGUAGCGGUGAAAUGCGUAGAUAUCAGGAGGAACACCUGCGGUGUAGACGGCUUUCUGGACCAUUGUUGACGCUGAGACACGAAAGCGUGGGUAGCAAACAGG